UCCUGGCUCAGAUUGAACGCUAGCGGGAUGCUUUACACAUGCAAGUCGAACGGCAGCACGAGAGAGCUUGCUCUCUUGGUGGCGAGUGGCGGACGGGUGAGUAAUAUAUCGGAACGUGCCUAGUAGCGGGGGAUAACUACUCGAAAGAGUGGCUAAUACCGCAUACGCCCUACGGGGGAAAGGGGGGGAUCGCAAGACCUCUCACUAUUAGAGCGGCCGAUAUCGGAUUAGCUAGUUGGUGGGGUAAAGGCUCACCAAGGCAACGAUCCGUAGCUGGUUUGAGAGGACGACCAGCCACACUGGGACUGAGACACGGCCCAGACUCCUACGGGAGGCAGCAGUGGGGAAUUUUGGACAAUGGGGGAAACCCUGAUCCAGCCAUCCCGCGUGUAUGAUGAAGGCCUUCGGGUUGUAAAGUACUUUUGGCAGAGAAGAAAAGGUACCUCCUAAUACGAGGUACUGCUGACGGUAUCUGCAGAAUAAGCACCGGCUAACUACGUGCCAGCAGCCGCGGUAAUACGUAGGGUGCAAGCGUUAAUCGGAAUUACUGGGCGUAAAGCGUGUGUAGGCGGUUCGGAAAGAAAGAUGUGAAAUCCCAGGGCUUAACCUUGGAACUGCAUUUUUAACUGCCGAGCUAGAGUAUGUCAGAGGGGGGUAGAAUUCCACGUGUAGCAGUGAAAUGCGUAGAUAUGUGGAGGAAUACCGAUGGCGAAGGCAGCCCCCUGGGAUAAUACUGACGCUCAGACACGAAAGCAUGGGGAGCAAACAGGAUUAGAUACCCUGGUAGUCCACGCCCUAAACGAUGUCAACUAGCUGUUGGGGCCGUUAGGCCUUAGUAGCGCAGCUAACGCGUGAAGUUGACCGCCUGGGGAGUACGGUCGCAAGAUUAAAACUCAAAGGAAUUGACGGGGACCCGCACAAGCGGUGGAUGAUGUGGAUUAAUUCGAUGCAACGCGAAAAACCUUACCUACCCUUGACAUGUCUGGAAUCCCGAAGAGAUUUGGGAGUGCUCGCAAGAGAACCGGAACACAGGUGCUGCAUGGCUGACGUCAGCUCGUGUCGUGAGAUGUUGGGUUAAGUCCCGCAACGAGCGCAACCCUUGUCAUUAGUUGCUACGCAAGAGCACUCUAAUGAGACUGCCGGUGACAAACCGGAGGAAGGUGGGGAUGACGUCAAGUCCUCAUGGCCCUUAUGGGUAGGGCUUCACACGUCAUAGAAUGGUCGGGACAGAGGGUCGCCAACCCGCGAGGGGGAGCCAAUCUCAGAAACCCGAUCGUAGUCCGGAUCGCAGUCUGCAACUCGACUGCGUGAAGUCGGAAUCGCUAGUAAUCGCGGAUCAGAAUGUCGCGGUGAAUACGUUCCCGGGUCUUGUACACACCGCCCGUCACACCAUGGGAGUGGGUUUCACCAGAAGUAGGUAGCCUAACCGUAAGGAGGGCGCUUACCACGGUGGGAUUCAUGACUGGGGUGAAGUCGUAACAAGGUAGCCGUAAA
rnacentral:rRNA from 1 species